AUUGAACGCUGGCGGCAUGCCUUACACAUGCAAGUCGAACGGCAGCACGGGUGCAUGCACCUGGUGGCGAGUGGCGAACGGGUGAGUAAUACAUCGGAACAUGUCCUGUAGUGGGGGAUAGCCCGGCGAAAGCCGGAUUAAUACCGCAUACGAUCUACGGAUGAAAGCGGGGGACCUUCGGGCCUCGCGCUAUAGGGUUGGCCGAUGGCUGAUUAGCUAGUUGGUGGGGUAAAGGCCUACCAAGGCGACGAUCAGUAGCUGGUCUGAGAGGACGACCAGCCACACUGGGACUGAGACACGGCCCAGACUCCUACGGGAGGCAGCAGUGGGGAAUUUUGGACAAUGGGCGAAAGCCUGAUCCAGCAAUGCCGCGUGUGUGAAGAAGGCCUUCGGGUUGUAAAGCACUUUUGUCCGGAAAGAAAUCCUUGGCUCUAAUACAGUCGGGGGAUGACGGUACCGGAAGAAUAAGCACCGGCUAACUACGUG
rnacentral:rRNA from 1 species